UUUGACUUGGAGAUUAUCUCUUCAGUUUGUUUACACUGGCUUUAAUUCUUCUGUAAUUCAGGUAAUUGAAAUGGCAAGUCGUGAUACCGGAGAUGCUGUGAAUGAAAGACUGGUUGCAGCUAUAUUCGAACGGGCUGCAAGCCAUCGCUACGAUCCAGCUGUUUAUAAUGAGGAGGAUGAAAGAGCAUUCGAAUGCUGUCGGAUCCUUUUCAGUAAAGAUUACAAUUGUCAAGUGGUGUCUAAUUGUGAAAAUCGCAGCGCCCAUUAUCCAGCGAAACUCAUUAUUCCUGUAAAGGAGAAUACAGGUAUUGCCGAACAAGAACCCAUUCCCGGACAACAAAGUUCCGACGACAGCUCUCGGAGUUUCCAAGCUGGACUUUAUGAGAACAUGUUUAAAAGUUCGCAAGCUUGUAGAAUGAAUAAACGGUUUCCUGUCCCAACAAUAUUAUGGAAUGGAAAAUAUCUCUCUCGUACUGGUUCACUGGAUGUCCUUUCGGUGGCAACAGAUAUGGAUGAAACUCUAAAGCAAGAAGGUUCUCAAGCAAGUGACUUUAUAUUCCAGAUAAAUAUUGCCACUGCAGCUUUCUUCAUGAGGAACAUGAAAUUCUUUAGUGAAAUAAAAAUGGACGUUGCUCUUUUGGAAUACUUGGAUGUGAAUUACAUUUGUGACUUGAGAGUAAGAGACACAAGCAAAAGCUUUCCUAAUUUCGCGGAUUCUUGUGAAGCUUACCAGAAGUAUUACGUAGGAUUCACAACUGUACACAUGCCAUACCCAGGUAUCGGCUAUUUUAGAAAAUACCACAAUCUACGGAGGCCUAAAUUACUAUCUUGCGAUCUAGAUAAGGUAUCUCCACCACGCUAUGAGCUGGCAUUGGCUGACAUAGACUGCACGACACUUUUUCAAACCGACUUGAAAAAAUACGAGAGAUGGAGCCUACAUGAUAUAACACUAAAUUAUCUACUGGUUUUACAGACUUAUCUUACUUCCGACACCCUUCCAAGACGAGGGAUCCUACUGCAUUGCAUUGCUGGUCAAGAUAGGACCCCACUUUUCGUAACACUAUUGCGUUUGUCCUUUUGGGCUGACGACUUAAUGCAUGAGAGCCUGAAUCCCCUAGAAAUGCUCUACUUGACCGUUACCUAUGAUUGGUACAUGUUUGGAUAAUGCAUUUCUGUUACAACAUGCUUGAUCGCAUUUCAUCUGACAGAUUUUCAGUGAGGAAAGCUGAUGAGCCAGCUGCCAGAGCAAGGUUCAUUCCGUGUUGUCCAACCGUAACUGACCGUAAGAGAAAGCUUACAGAAG
rnacentral:misc_RNA from 1 species